AUUGAACGCUGGCGGCAUGCCUUACACAUGCAAGUCGAGCGGUAACGGGCCUUCGGGUGCCGACGAGUGGCGGACGGGCGAGUAAUACAUCGGAACGUGCCCGAUCGUGGGGGAUAACGUGGUGAAAGCUUUGCUAAUACCGCAUACGAUCUACGGAUGAAAGCCGGGGACCGCAAGGCCUUGCGCGGACGGAGCGGCCGAUGGCAGAUGAGGUAGUUGGUGGGAUAAAAGCUUACCAAGCCGACGAUCUGUAGCUGAUCUGAGAGGAUGAUCAGCCACACUGGGACUGAGACACGGCCCAGACUCCUACGGGAGGCAGCAGUGGGGAAUUUUGGACAGUGGGCGCAAGCCUGAUCCAGCCAUGCCGCGUGCAGGAUGAAGGCCUUCGGGUUGUAAACUGCUUUUGUACGGAACGAAAAGCCUUCUUUUAAUACAGGAGGGUCAUGACGGUACCGGAAGAAUAAGCACCGGCUAACUACGUG
rnacentral:rRNA from 1 species